rnacentral:lncRNA from 1 species
ACAGUGGGUCACUUGUUCAGUGAACAUAGUAAUUUAGGAGGCAUUUGCUUUGCUUAUUGGGAAAAAAAUCACUUAUUGUUUUGUUUUCUUUUUUCUUCAACAGAGUUGUAUUAGGCCAUUUAGCAUCAUGUUGAUCCAGCAGCAAUAAAGCGUUACUUCAUUGAGACUGAUGGAAAUAACGCUUCAAUAGCCAUAAAUCCACCUGCCUGCAUGUUGCAUUAUCCACCUUCUCAAACAUCAGAUUCUGCCCAGAAAGAAACACUACAGCUUCUUCUUGCUUUUCCAAAACCACUUACAGUUCUGGCCUGGCCUAGCUCUGUGACCUGACAAUUGUUGUUUGCCUCCUUUUAAAUGACGUGAGCCUUGAGGGCCUUUCCUUUUCAUACUCUGCAUCAAAUAUGUUUUUCUGUCUCUAUUUACUCACCUCCUUUUAAAACUCCUAAAAGUUCACUUUUAUUUUUUCACUCAUGAGAGCAAUAAUUAGUUCUUAGAAAGUUUGUAGACCUGCAAACUCUACCUGUGCCAAGAGAUCCUGUUGCAGUGAUUCUUCCUCUUCUCAGCAUGCAUCCCUCUCCCUUCUUAUCACUUGUCAUGGUCUUGUCAAGGAUUCAAAUGGAAGCUCUUUUGGGAAGGGCUGUAUGUUUUAUUAUGUUUCUUUAUAGCUUCUGAUGCUCUCAAAGAAUAAAUGAAUGUUCAAGGUCA